rnacentral:tRNA from 1 species
AGUAAGGUCAGCUAAAUAAGCUUUUGGGCCCAUACCCCA